rnacentral:rRNA from 1 species
GACGUAGGGCGCGAGCGUUGUCCGGAUUUAUUGGGCGUAAAGAGCUCGUAGGCGGCUUGUCGCGUCGUUCGUGAAAACUCACAGCUCAACUGUGAGCUUGCGGUCGAUACGGGCAGGCUAGAGUUCGGUAGGGGAGACUGGAAUUCCUGGUGUAGCGGUGAAAUGCGCAGAUAUCUGGAGGAACACCGAUGGCGAAGGCAGGUCUCUGGGCCAUUACUGACACUGAGAAGCGAAAGCAUGGGGAGCGAACAGG